rnacentral:rRNA from 1 species
UGGGGAAUAUUGCACAAUGGGGGAAACCCUGAUGCAGCGACGCCGCGUGAGCGAAGAAGGUUUUCGAAUCGUAAAGCUCUGUCCUAUGAGAAGAUAAUGACGGUAUCAUAGGAGGAAGCCCGGCUAAAUACGUGCCAGCAGCCGCGGUAAUACGUAUGGGGCGAGCGUUGUCCGGAAUUAUUGGGCGUAAAGGGUACGUAGGCGGUCUAUUAAGUCAGGUGUGAAAGCGUGAGGCUUAACCUCAUUAAGCACUUGAAACUGAUAGACUUGAGUGAAGGAGAGGAAAGUGGAAUUCCUAGUGUAGCGGUGAAAUGCGUAGAUAUUAGGAGGAAUACCGGUGGCGAAGGCGACUUUCUGGACUUUUACUGACGCUCAGGUACGAAAGCGUGGGGAGCAAACAGG